CCUACGGGUGGCAGCAGUGGGGGAUAUUGGACAAUGGGGGGAACCCUGAACCAGCGACGCCGCGUGAGUGAUGAAGUAUUUCGGUAUGUAAAGCUCUGUCAGCAGGGAAGAAAGCAAUGACGGUACCUGACCAAGAAGCCCCGGCUAACUACGUGCCAGCAGCCGCGGUAAUACGUAGGGGGCAAGCGUUAUCCGGAAUUACUGGGUGUAAAGGGGGCGUAGGCGGCUGUGCAAGUCUGGAGUGAAAGGCGGGGGCCCAACCCCCGGACUGCUCUGGAAACUGUCUGGCUGGAGUGCAGGAGAGGUAAGCGGAAUUCGUGGUGUAGCGGUGAAAUGCGUAGAUAUUAGGAGGAACACCAGUGGCGAAGGCGGCUUACUGGAGUGUAACUGACGUUGAGGCUCGAAAGCGUGGGGAGCAAACAGGAUUAGAUACCCUUGUAGUC
rnacentral:rRNA from 1 species